GGUCUCGUAGCUCAGCUGGUAGAGCAUGCGCGUACAAAGCGUAGGCGGCUUUCAUGCGUGGGUUCGAAUCGCAUUGAGGCUA
rfam:Echinostoma caproni strain Egypt genome assembly, scaffold: ECPE_scaffold0002880